CCUCCCGCGAGGGAAUUGGCCGGCUGCGAAGGAAGCGAUCCAGAGUGAAAGCUUUUUUCUCGACACACGCUUGUAAAAACCUGAGACCAAAGGGUGUCUCGGGGGACUGAUCACAAGGGACUAAAAGGGGAAGGAUACUUUCUGUCGAGCUCGGGAACUGGUAAACCCUUUUAGUAAACGGAUCUAGGUAUAGAUCCAGAAGAGGAUCAAAGGUACCGAUAACAAGAGACCUCAGCUCAGCUUGCUGAAGGGUGAGUAUCGGCAAAUUUUGAUUCCUAGGGUAAGCACGCAACGCAGAGACUGAAAUCGACUCACAGAAGAAUCGAAGACAGACUAUAGUAUGGCCUAAGGAUUUCUUCCCAAAACCCAGCAGUGAAUACCCAUUCAGGUAACAACCCUAGGCGACGCUUGCCAGCCUGAAAGAAAGAGCAGGACACAGGCAAUCAGGCUGAACAAUAAGCGGAGCCAGGCCGAGAUGCCCAUUGGCUCCGCACUGGACUUACCCUGCAAACCCUGACCAGAGAUGCAAUCAGGCUAAACAAUGAGUGGAGCCAGGCCAAGAUACCCAUCGGCUCUGCACCGGACCUGGACACAUCACCCUGAGAGCCCAACCGGAGAUACAAUCAGGAAGCACUCAGAAGCACACUUUCACAUGCAAAAGGACUCUGCCCAGUUGGUGAUUGACUCAGCUGAGGGUUCCAGGAAAUUCAUUCAACCAACCAUCUAGACUCUUUGUUGAACAGCAACUGCUCGAAGUUUGGCCUCAGGACACAAAAUCCCAAUAAAAACCCCCAGACCGCAGUCCCUUCUUUGUGGAUUUGGGAGAUCGGUACCUCUGGGUACAGAUCCCUGUCCACCCGGCGCUGCGCUGAUUUAUUUAUUGUGGUUUUUCUCUCGUCAUUUCUGAUCAAAAUUGUUUUAUAAUAAAUUGCUUUUUAUAUUAA